rnacentral:rRNA from 1 species
GGCCAGACUCCUACGGGAGGCAGCAGUGAGGAAUAUUGGUCAAUGGGCGAGAGCCUGAACCAGCCAAGUCGCGUGAGGGAGUACUGCCCUAUGGGUUGUAAACCUCUUUUGUCGGGGAGCAAAAGCCGGACGUGUCCGGCUGUGAGAGUACCCGAAGAAAAAGCAUCGGCUAACUCCGUGCCAGCAGCCGCGGUAAUACGGAGGAUGCGAGCGUUAUCCGGAUUUAUUGGGUUUAAAGGGUGCGUAGGCGGGCUUGUAAGUCAGCGGUAAAAAUUCGGGGCUCAACCCCGUCCGGCCGUUGAAACUGGGGGCCUUGAGUGGGCGAGAAGAAGGCGGAAUGCGUGGUGUAGCGGUGAAAUGCAUAGAUAUCACGCAGAACUCCGAUCGCGAAGGCAGCCUACCGGCGCGCAACUGACGCUCAUGCACGAAAGCGUGGGUAUCGAACAGGAUUAGAUACCCCCGUAC